GACGAACGCUGGCGGCGUGCUUAACACAUGCAAGUCGAACGGAAAGGCCCUGCUCUUGCGGGGUGACCGAGUGGCGAUCGGGUGUGUAACACGCGAGUAACCUGCCCCUGACCUUGGGAUAACUUUAGGAAACUGGGGCUAAUACCGGAUAGGAGCUCCUGCUGCAUGGUGGGGGCUGGCAAGUUUCGGUGGUUGGGGAUGGACUCGCGGCUUAUCCGCUUGUUGGUGGGGUAGUGGCCUACCAAGGCUGUGACGGGUAGCCGGCCUGAGAGGGUGACCGGCCACAUUAGGCCGGAGAUACGGACCAGGAGCGAACGGGAGGCAGCAGUGGUGAAUGUUGCGGAAUGGGCGGGAGCCUGACUCAGCUGCGCCGCGUGUGUGAUGACGGCCAUCGGGUGGUUGUCCGCGGUCGCGUGUGAUGGAGCUUGAGUGACGGUAAUGAGUAAUGAAGCACCGGCUAACUACGUG
rnacentral:rRNA from 1 species